rnacentral:rRNA from 1 species
UGAACGCUGGCGGCAGGCUUAACACAUGCAAGUCGAACGAUGACUCUCUAGCUUGCUAGAGAAGAUUAGUGGCGGACGGGUGAGUAACAUUUAGGAAUCUGCCUAGUAGUGGGGGAUAGCUCGGGGAAACUCGAAUUAAUACCGCAUACGACCUACGGGUGAAAGGGGGCGCAAGCUCUUGCUAUUAGAUGAGCCUAAAUCAGAUUAGCUAGUUGGUGGGGUAAAGGCCCACCAAGGCGACGAUCUGUAACUGGUCUGAGAGGAUGAUCAGUCACACCGGAACUGAGACACGGUCCAGACUCCUACGGGAGGCAGCAGUGGGGAAUAUUGGACAAUGGGGGCAACCCUGAUCCAGCCAUGCCGCGUGUGUGAAGAAGGCCUUUUGGUUGUAAAGCACUUUAAGCAGGGAGGAGAGGCUAAUGGUUAAUACCCAUUAGAUUAGACGUUACCUGCAGAAUAAGCACCGGCUAACUCUGUGCCAGCAGCCGCGGUAAUACAGAGGGUGCGAGCGUUAAUCGGAAUUACUGGGCGUAAAGCGAGUGUAGGUGGCUCAUUAAGUCACAUGUGAAAUCCCCGGGCUUAACCUGGGAACUGCAUGUGAUACUGGUGGUGCUAGAAUAUGUGAGAGGGAAGUAGAAUUCCAGGUGUAGCGGUGAAAGGCGUAGAGAUCUGGAGGAAUACCGAUGGCGAAGGCAGCUUCCUGGCAUAAUAUUGACACUGAGAUUCGAAAGCGUGGGUAGCAAACAGGAUUAGAUACCCUGGUAGUCCACGCCGUAAACGAUGUCUACUAGCCGUUGGGGUCCUUGAGACUUUAGUGGCGCAGUUAACGCGAUAAGUAGACCGCCUGGGGAGUACGGCCGCAAGGUUAAAACUCAAAUGAAUUGACGGGGGCCCGCACAAGCGGUGGAGCAUGUGGUUUAAUUCGAUGCAACGCGAAGAACCUUACCUGGUCUUGACAUAGUGAGAAUCCUGCAGAGAUGCGGGAGUGCCUUCGGGAAUUCACAUACAGGUGCUGCAUGGCUGUCGUCAGCUCGUGUCGUGAGAUGUUGGGUUAAGUCCCGCAACGAGCGCAACCCUUUUCCUUAUUUGCCAGCGGGUUAAGCCGGGAACUUUAAGGAUACUGCCAGUGACAAACUGGAGGAAGGCGGGGACGACGUCAAGUCAUCAUGGCCCUUACGACCAGGGCUACACACGUGCUACAAUGGUAGGUACAGAGGGUUGCUACACAGCGAUGUGAUGCUAAUCUCAAAAAGCCUAUCGUAGUCCGGAUUGGAGUCUGCAACUCGACUCCAUGAAGUCGGAAUCGCUAGUAAUCGCAGAUCAGAAUGCUGCGGUGAAUACGUUCCCGGGCCU